GUGACAUACCUGGAGUUCAAGCGUCCCCAGGGCUUUGUGUACCGCUCAGGCCAGUGGGUGAGGGUGGCGUGUCUGGCGCUUGGCACAGAUGAGUAUCACCCAUUCACCCUGACGUCAGCUCCACAUGAGGAGACCCUCAGCCUUCACAUCCGCGCCAUAGGCCCCUGGACCAGCCACCUCCGAGAGGCAUACGCCCCCAACAACCUGGAACAACUGCGAACAUAUCCAAAGCUGUACCUGGACGGGCCAUUUGGGGAGGGCCACCAGGAGUGGACAAAUUUUGAGGUGUCAGUCCUGGUGGGAGGAGGGAUUGGUGUCACCCCCUUCGCUUCCAUCCUCAAGGACCUGGUGUUCAAGUCCUCAGUCAAGUUCAAGAUACAGUGUAAAAAAAUAUACUUUAUCUGGGG